rnacentral:siRNA from 1 species
GUAACCUCCUCCAACCGCCGGAA